AAAAAGACAAACUCUGAUUUUCCGUGUCCAAUAUUUGACUAUCCGUUUUAUAUAAUUUUUUUAUAAUUAGUAUUUUCAUUGUUAUUAGAUGAUAAAACAUGAUUAAUACUUUAUGCGUGACUUGUCUUUUUAAAAUUUUUUUAUAAUUUUUUCAAAUAAGAUGGACGGUUAAACGUUGGACACUGAAAUCCAGGGUUUGUCUUUUU
rfam:Oryza sativa Japonica Group DNA, chromosome 3, cultivar: Nipponbare, complete sequence.